rnacentral:lncRNA from 1 species
AGGAUUGUGAGGCCUCCCUACCCAUGUGGAACUGCCCAUAGGUGGAAGAGACUUGGCUUUUCUCAGAUGAGAUGUUGGACUGAGGACUUUUGCAUUAAUGCUGAAUUAAGUUAAGACUUUGAGGGACUGUUGGGAAGGCAUGAUUGGUUUUGAAAUGUGAGGGCAUGAGAUUUGGAGGGGCCGGGGUGAAAUGAUAUGGUUUUCCUGCGUCCCCACCCAAAUCACAUCUUGAAUUGUAACUCCCACAAUUCCUACAUGUUGUGGGAAGAAUCUAGUGGGAGAUGAUUGAAUUAUGGGGGCAGGUCUUUCCUGUGCUGUUCUCCUGAUAGCGAAUCAGUCUCAUCAGAUCCAUUGGUUUUAAAAACAGGAAUUUCUCUGCACAAGCUCUCUGCCUGCUGCCAUCCAUGUAAGAUGUGAUUUGCUCCUACUUGCCUUCUGUCAUGAUUGUGAGGCCUCCCCAGCCACAUGGAACUGUGAUUCCAGUUAAACCUCUUUCUUUUGUAAAUUGCCCAGUCUGGGGUAUGUCUUUAUCAGCAGCAUGAAAAUGGACUAAUAAACCACAUUUCUGUAUAACUUUGUUACUGCCACAACAUAUGGAUGGGUCUAACAUUUUCCUGGGUCAUAUUCUGAUAUUUGAUAGGGUUUUAAACCAGAAAGGUUGUAGGUUUCACUCACCCACACUAACUAAUGAAAGACAGGGACCCAGCCUUGUUUUCUCUGCAAUCUGGAGCCCUGGCUUCAUUAGAUAUGCUGCUUGCAUGAUACUGGCAUAAAAGAACGCAGACAUUUAAAAAAAUUCGAAUAAUUGCAGCAGGAUAUUCAAGCUUGAAGAGAAAGUUUAUACCAUAGGAAAACUAAAAUAAAAUAGAAAAUAAAUG